AAAAAAGUAAAAAUAUUAGGUAGUAGCAGUUGUCUUAAAACUUAAAAAAUUUGGCGGUGUUUUAAACUUAUCAGAGGAACUUGUUUUAUAAUCGACAAUACACGACAAAUCUUACUUAAACCAAAAACUUGUAUAUCGUUGUGGUAAUAAUAUUUUAUAAUCAUUAUUAGGAAUAAUUUUAUUUUUAAUAUCAGAUCAAGGUUCAGUUGUAUGUUUAAGUGAAAAAUGAGUUACAAUAUAGAAAUAUAUUACGAAAUUUAUUGUUAAAAAAUAAACGAAGGAGGAUUUGAAAGUAUUUUUAUAAUAAUAUGUUAAAUUGAAUUAGCCCUAAAACAUGC
rnacentral:rRNA from 1 species